AUUGAGCGCUGGCGGCAUGCCUUACACAUGCGAGUCGAACGGUAACAGGUCUUCGGAUGCUGACGAGUGGCGAACGGGUGAGUAAUACAUCGGAACGUGCCUAGUGGUGGGGGAUAACUACUCGAAAGAGUGGCUAAUACCGCAUGAGAUCUACGGAUGAAAGCAGGGGAUCGCAAGACCUUGUGCUACUAGAGCGGCCGAUGGCAGAUUAGGUAGUUGGUGGGAUAAAAGCUUACCAAGCCGACGAUCUGUAGCUGGUCUGAGAGGACGAUCAGCCACACUGGGACUGAGACACGGCCCAGACUCCUACGGGAGGCAGCAGUGGGGAAUUUUGGACAAUGGGCGCAAGCCUGAUCCAGCAAUGCCGCGUGCAGGAUGAAGGCCUUCGGGUUGUAAACUGCUUUUGUACGGAACGAAAAGCCCUGGGUUAAUACCCUGGGGUCAUGACGGUACCGUAAGAAUAAGCACCGGCUAACUACGUGCCAGCCGCCGCAGUAAAAC
rnacentral:rRNA from 1 species